rnacentral:rRNA from 1 species
GACGAACGCUGGCGGCGUGCUUAACACAUGCAAGUCGAACGGAAAGGCCCUGCUUUUGUGGGGUGCUCGAGUGGCGAACGGGUGAGUAACACGUGAGUAACCUGCCCUUGACUUUGGGAUAACUUCAGGAAACUGGGGCUAAUACCGGAUAGGAGCUCCUGCUGCAUGGUGGGGGUUGGAAAGUUUCGGCGGUUGGGGAUGGACUCGCGGCUUAUCAGCUUGUUGGUGGGGUAGUGGCUUACCAAGGCUUUGACGGGUAGCCGGCCUGAGAGGGUGGCCGGCCACAUUGGGACUGAGAUACGGCCCAGACUCCUACGGGAGGCAGCAGUGGGGAAUAUUGCACAAUGGGCGGAAGCCUGAUGCAGCAACGCCGCGUGCGGGAUGACGGCCUUCGGGUCGUAAACCGCUUUCGCCUGUGACGAAGCGUGAGUGACGGUAAUGGGUAAAGAAGCACCGGCUAACUACGUGCCAGCAGCCGCGGUGAUACGUAGGGUGCGAGCGUUGUCCGGAUUUAUUGGGCGUAAAGGGCUCGUAGGUGGUUGAUCGCGUCGGAAGUGUAAUCUUGGGGCUUAACCCUGAGCGUGCUUUCGAUACGGGUUGACUUGAGGAAGGUAGGGGAGAAUGGAAUUCCUGGUGGAGCGGUGGAAUGCGCAGAUAUCAGGAGGAACACCAGUGGCGAAGGCGGUUCUCUGGGCCUUUCCUGACGCUGAGGAGCGAAAGCGUGGGGAGCGAACAGGCUUAGAUACCCUGGUAGUCCACGCUGUAAACGGUGGGUACUAGGUGUGGGGUCCAUUCCACGGGUUCCGUGCCGUAGCUAACGCUUUAAGUACCCCGCCUGGGGAGUACGGCCGCAAGGCUAAAACUCAAAGGAAUUGACGGGGCCCCGCACAAGCGGCGGAGCAUGCGGAUUAAUUCGAUGCAACGCGUAGAACCUUACCUGGGUUUGACAUGGAUCGGGAGUGCUCAGAGAUGGGUGUGCCUCUUUUGGGGUCGGUUCACAGGUGGUGCAUGACUGUCGUCAGCUCGUGUCGUGAGAUGUUGGGUUAAGUCCCGCAACGAGCGCAACCCUUGUUCACUGUUGCCAGCACGUUAUGGUGGGGACUCAGUGGAGACCGCCGGGGUCAACUCGGAGGAAGGUGGGGAUGACGUCAAGUCAUCAUGCCCCUUAUGUCCAGGGCUUCACGCAUGCUACAAUGGCUGGUACAGAGAGUGGCGAGCCUGUGAGGGUGAGCGAAUCUCGGAAAGCCGGUCUCAGUUCGGAUUGGGGUCUGCAACUCGACCUCAUGAAGUCGGAGUCGCUAGUAAUCGCAGAUCAGCAACGCUGCGGUGAAUACGUUCCCGGG